rnacentral:ncRNA from 1 species
UAACUUUGCGUCGCUUUUGGUUCCUGAUCUCGCUGGUCAGGAUUAAAAGGGAAUAUGGUGUAAAUCCAUAACUGUCCCGCAGCUGUAAGCUCCUUAACGGAAUCCAUAUCCAGCCACUCAUGUUAAAAACACGGGGAAGGCAUGAAUCUCCGGGAGUAAGUCAGAAGACCUGCCUCUAGCCUUAUAAUUUC